GCUGAGCACGGCAGCAUGUGCCUGUGGACCCAGCUACUCGCACUGAGGUGGGAGGAUCACUUGAGCCCAGGAGUUCUGGGCUACAGUGCGCUAUGCCGAUCGGGUGGCCACACUAAGUUCGGCAUCAAUAUGGUGACCUCCUGGGAGGUCCAGGUUACCUAAGGAGGGGUGAACCAGCCCAGGUGGGAAACAGAGCAGGUCAAAACUCCUGUGCUGAUCAGUAGUGGGAUCGCGCCUGUGAAUAGCCACUGCACUUCAGCCUGGGCAACAUAGCGAGACCCCAUCUCU
rnacentral:SRP_RNA from 1 species